AACGAACGCUGGCGGCAGGCUUAACACAUGCAAGUCGAACGGGUGUAGCAAUACAUCAGUGGCAGACGGGUGAGUAACACGUGGGAACCUUCCUAGGGGUACGGAACAACUCAGGGAAACUUGAGCUAAUACCGUAUACGUCCGUGAGGAGAAAGAUUUAUCGCCCUUAGACGGGCCCGCGUCGGAUUAGGUAGUUGGUGGGGUAACGGCCUACCAAGCCUACGAUUCGUAGCUGAUCUUAGAGGAUGAUCAGCCACACUGGGACUGAGACACGGCCCAGAGUCCUACGGGAGGCAGCAGUGGGGAAUCUUGGACAAUGGGCGCAAGCGUGAUCCAGCCAUGCCGCGUGAGUGAAGAAGGCCUUAGGGUUGUAAAGCUCUUUUACCAGGGACGAUAAUGACGGUACCUGGAGAAUAAGCCCCGGCAAACUUCGUGCCAGCCGCCGCGGUAAAAC
rnacentral:rRNA from 1 species